ACAAGCAAGGACUAGUGAAUGAUUUUGUGUAUGGAGGAACCAAUAAGAUCUAUUUACUCGCAAUCACAUAUUGGUCUCUAAAUGUUUGAUACUCGCUUUAUUUUGUUUCUAUUUAAUUCCAUUUUUAUUCAAAAAGGAGAUGAUACAUCAAGUCAUGCUAUGGGUUAAACCCAAAUGGUUAACCUUAAAACAAAAAUUCAGACUUUAAUACGUUUUGACUCAAAAGCGAAUUUCAUUAAUGGGUGAUCCUUUCAGUUUGCUGAUAGUGUCUACCUAGUGGUACACCUUGGGUCCUAUGCUGUGUCCGUGGCUCUGUUUAAUGCUGGAGUUUCUUUGGAAUCCUUAAGUUAGAAUGAAGCAUAACUGAGAGCAGUAUUUUAUGAUCAUUUUGCCUGUUUGCUUCUUCUUUGCUUGACAAAGUAUAUAUCUUGUUUCAAAAGUGAAUUUGGUUAACGAGUGGUCCUUUCGGUUUGCUGAUAGCAGUUGCCUAAUGGUACACCUUUGGCCAUAUGCUGUCCCCAUGGCUGUGUUUAAUGCUACCGAGCUUCUUUGGGUUCCAUUAGUUGUAAGGAAGCAUAACUGAGAGCAGUAGACUUCAUCACACACACACACACACACACUAGCAAAAGAAAGAAACAGGGACAGGGGCAUUAUUGAAGUUAUGACUUUUGGAUUUCAGAAUUCAUUAAUUUGGAUGCUAUUAUUAGACUCAUAGCAGUCCAAGAAGAGA